rnacentral:rRNA from 1 species
UACGGAGGAUGCAAGCGUUAUCCGGAUUUAUUGGGUUUAAAGGGUGCGUAGGUUGAUUAAUAAGUCAGCGGUGAAAGUUUGUCGCUCAACGAUAAAAUUGCCAUUGAAACUGGUUAGCUUGAGUAUGUUUGAGGUAGGCGGAAUGCGUAGUGUAGUGGUGAAAUGCAUAGAUAUUACGCAGAACUCCAAUUGCGAAGGCAGCUCACAAAGCUAUAUCUGACGCUGAGGCACGAAAGCGUGGGGAGCAAAC